GGGAUUUUUUUUUGUGGUGGGGUGGAGACCCAUAUUUUUCUUACCAGGGAGAGAGCUGCCUGUUUUCCUGUAAGAGCUUGUGCCAUUCCUGCCAAAUAUGAGUAUGUUUUAGAAGACUGCAAGAUGAAUGCAGUUCAGACUGAGGCAAGGUCAUGCUGAAUGCUAGGUAGAAGCCCAUACAGGCUCUAGAGUGCCCUGCUCCUUCCUAGACCUGUAGCCUACAGCAGUGCUGGCUCUGCUUCUGCCAUCAACAGCGACAAUCACAGCACAAUUACUUUAUCUGGAAAACACACCCCAUUCAAACAACCCUACAAGAUAUUCAGUGAUCAUUGAGUAUCUGCUGUAUGAAGAAAACUGUAAUUAUCGGCUUUGGACUUUAUUUGGAUGUUCACACAGCCCUAGUCAGACAGUGCUUUGAUAUUUUUUCUCCUGGACUGCCUGGGUGGGUAACAACUCAAGCAUAAAAAGCCUCUGUUUGUGUGAUGUUGCAUAAUAUUGAGAUGAAUGGAACAGUCUUGUGUGACUAUCACUUUCAGGUUUAUAUUGAUUUAUAUUGCAACAUUCUGGUUACCUAAGUAUACUUUUCAUUAAUAAAUCUUUCCAAAAAUGAGCUGUUUAAUAGUUGAUAAAAUUCAAAAAAGCCAUAAAUCAGCUUGGCAAAUCAGAAACUCAUAUCCAUUAAGUGAGGCUGAGUUCAGUCUAUUAAAACCGAUCUUUAUUUUAAUUACAAAUGGCCACCUUGGAUUGGUUAACAUGUAAGGACUCUGAGAAAAUAGUUUAAAAGUUUAAAUAGAAAAACUAUUAAGGGAUAUAUGCCAUAGCAAUUCUUUCAUAUCAUAAUUCAUUCUUUUGACUUAUAUGUAUUUCAGAGAAUACUUCACAGUGGUGAUAAAGACAGGUCGAAGUUCUGAUGCUCUCUCAGUUCACAGCACUGGUAACUGGAAAGGCAGAGAAGAGAAGAAAGGGAAAACUGGAAACAAUACAAAGGAAGAGCUAGAUUUUAAUCUCCCUGUUCAUUUCACAUGCCAGAUUUUUUUUUUAAGGACAUAAGGAUAUAGAAACCAUCUGCCUGAAAUUCUGUUGAUUCAGUAAAUAAUUUCAGAAAGCCUGGGGGUGGAAGUGUCUCAGUGUGCAGGCUAACUCACCAGAAGAAGGAGUGUGAGGAGCAAGGGGACUUCGUGGAACUUACUGUGUGUUUCACACUCUCAGCAUCUUGCUGUGCUAUAUAAACCAAAGAGCCUUAUAAAGGCUCUACUUCAAUGAUCUUAUUUAACAGAUGAACACAAUGAGACCCAGAGGAGCUAGGAUCUGGGACAAAAGCAGAUGUUUGUUAAUUUACUCCAGUAUCAUUUUACCACAUAAACAGUGACAGUAAUUAACAUUGAGAUACUGCUGUGUGAAAACUGAGGAACCAUAGUUUGCAAAUAUCUAGGCCUAUUGCUUCUGAAAUCAUUGAUGUUAUUAGAUAUUUAAAGAUGAUAACACAUGAUGGGUUUAGUCACAAAAAGGUAAGCAUUAAC
rnacentral:lncRNA from 1 species